CGGUCUCUCAGUUGUGCUCGAAUGUUGCGUACAUUUUUCUUGAUUAGUACUGUGAAUAUUGUACAAAUUUUUGCGAGUUUGUCUUGCUGGACAUUCGUUGUAGUCGAAGACAUUUGAAUAUAUCGCGUGCAGUCGUAUAUUACGUGUGAAUAUUGUGAUUUCAGUGUCGAUGCGCGCACACUUUGCUUUCGUGUGUGAGAUCGCCAUGAUACGUCCAAUCGUCGUCUUCCCGCCAAGAUGCAGAGAAGCUGAGCUGCUGCGUGAUUAUCGCAGGUGUCGACGCUUCGCUCUUGUGUAUUGGGGAUUCUCAUGGUAUGUCCAACAUCAUAUCUUCCCUCAGAAAUGCAGAGAAGUUGAGUUGAUAUUGAAGUGAUCAUCACCAGAUAACGCGUAAAAUUCGGGAGUGUCGUUAAAAGUAUCGCGCGUGUGUUCAAUCCUGACAACUUGAGAGGAGGAGGAGGCCUAGGAGAGGCAUCAGGCAUCGGCAGAGCAACUCUAAGACAACGCAAUUACAUCAGAACGCAGAACAUCAACUACUCCGCUGUUGUGCAUCCUCCGGUGAG